GUGGCGAUGCCUGCCCCCCAGACAAGGCGGGGUUGGUGGCCAGGGCGACAGCGGGGCGGGCCAGCGCCGGGGGUCGUGGCCGGGACACGUGGUACGGAACCGGCGCCGCGCUUGCUGCUGGUAAGAGGGCCUUGCCUGGUGGGCCUUCCUUCCCAGGUCGACCGUCAGUCCCCACUAGAGACAGGACUGACCAGUUGCUCUUCCUUCCAAGAACCUUCGAGAUCUGCGGUCUGGGGUCUGGUUGAAAGAUGGCGGCCCUCACUACCCUGUUUAAGUACAUAGAUGAAAAUCAGGAUCGUUACAUUAAGAAACUCGCAAAAUGGGUGGCUAUCCAGAGUGUGUCUGCGUGGCCGGAGAAGAGAGGCGAAAUCAGGAGGAUGAUGGAGGUUGCUGCUGCAGAUGUUAAGCAGUUGGGCGGCUCUGUGGAACUGGUGGAUAUCGGAAAACAAAAGCUCCCUGAUGGCUCGGAGAUCCCGCUCCCUCCUAUUCUGCUCGGCAGGCUGGGCUCCGACCCACAGAAGAAGACCGUGUGCAUUUACGGGCACCUGGAUGUGCAGCCUGCAGCCCUGGAGGACGGCUGGGACAGCGAGCCCUUCACCCUGGUGGAGCGAGACGGCAAGCUGUAUGGGAGAGGUUCGACUGAUGAUAAGGGCCCGGUGGCCGGCUGGAUAAACGCCCUGGAAGCGUAUCAGAAAACAGGCCAGGAGCUUCCUGUCAACGUCCGAUUCUGCCUCGAAGGCAUGGAGGAGUCAGGCUCUGAGGGCCUAGACGAGCUGAUUUUUGCCCAGAAAGACACAUUCUUUAAGGAUGUGGACUAUGUCUGCAUUUCUGACAAUUACUGGCUGGGAAAGAAGAAGCCCUGCAUCACCUACGGCCUCAGGGGCAUUUGCUACUUUUUCAUCGAGGUGGAGUGCAGCAACAAAGACCUCCAUUCUGGGGUGUACGGGGGCUCGGUGCACGAGGCCAUGACUGAUCUCAUUUUGCUGAUGGGCUCUUUGGUGGACAAGAGGGGGAACAUCCUGAUCCCCGGCAUUAACGAGGCCGUGGCCGCCGUCACGGAAGAGGAGCACAAGCUGUAUGACGACAUCGACUUUGACAUAGAGGAGUUUGCCAAGGAUGUGGGGGCGCAGAUCCUCCUGCACAGCAACAAGAAAGACAUCCUCAUGCACCGAUGGCGGUACCCGUCUCUGUCCCUCCAUGGCAUCGAAGGCGCCUUCUCUGGGUCUGGGGCCAAGACCGUGAUUCCCAGGAAGGUAGUUGGCAAGUUUUCCAUCAGGCUGGUGCCGAACAUGACUCCUGAAGUCGUCAGCGAGCAGGCAUGUGGGGCUGGGACACGGGGUGGGGGCCAAGAGCUACUGUGUCCGGGCAGAGACUUGGGUAAUAAAGGCUGUUACUCGACAGACACCCGGGCCAUGCAUGCCCCUGCUUCCUGGCUCUGGCCAAGUCAGUAAUUAUGACAGUCACGGUUCAGAAGCUAAUCAAAGAUAAUGCAUCACAUGUAAGUGACCUUUGUUACUGAUGAGGCAGGCCAAAAUCUGGCCUUUGACCUCACCUCAAGGCUCCAGGCCAAACACCAACGUUGGGCCAAGUGUGUUCUGGUCAGAGUACCGGAGCCGCCCCUUACCAUGGUGGCUUGUGGAGGGGACUCUGGUGGCUGGAGGUCAGCCCAGCUUCUGACUGUCCCCCUCAGCUGGGAUUCCUGGGGAGAUGGAGUCUUCCCACUGGGAAUGGGAGCGUGGGGCUCGCCCUUCAUGCUGAAUACUGAGGUCUUGUCACGAGGAGGUGUCCCCGGGUCAGCGCCUGGCUCUAUCCUGGGUCUGGAUGCAGUGUAGCCUGUGGUCAUUGAUUUUAUGAAGUACCUCGGUCUGCUCAGGCUGCCACAAUAAAGACCACAGACGCGGUAGCUUACGUGGCAGAAACGGAUUCCUCACUGUUUUGGAGGCGGAUGAGUCCAGGACCAAGGUGCCGGCAGCUGUGGCAUCUGAUGAGGGUUCCUCCUGGCCGUGGCCGCUGCCCUCGCUUGUGCUCACAUGGCAGAGGGCAGGCUCUCGGUAUCUUCUCACCCAGGCCCACCCUUCUGGCCUCAUUUAACCUUUGUCUAAAUAAGGUUUAGAAAGAGAAAAAAAAAACUACUAAAGAAAAAAAGCUAGGCUUUUAAAGAAUUCAAGUUAGUUUUAUUCAGGCGUCUCACUGAGGAACGCGGACUGCGGCCCGGGGCCCAGGAGCAGCCUUCGAGAGGUUUGGCCGGGCUGCUCCGAGAGAGCGGCUCAGCCCGCAGCUCAUCUGCAGGUGGAGGAGCUUCGGUGCGUGCAGAAUCACAUCGCACCUGUCAGAUGUUACAUUCCAGCCAAGCCACGCUGCGCCUCGGUGUAAGAGCACAUGUGGUCAAAGGUCACAGAGGCGCAACCACUAAUGCGGUCAGGUGCUAUCUUAUGUGUGGGAAAAGGUAAGGACAGGGUCAUUUAUCUCCUAAGGAAUGCAGCGACUCGGGCAAGAGGCAGGGGUGGUGUGUGCUCCCCCGUUUUGUCUUCAAAGCAUCUUUCCUGAGAGCUACAGGUAGUGGCAGGGUGGAGCCUGUGAAAUAGGCCGGCAAGCAGAAUGGUGCAAACGCAGCUUCUCACAUUUGUGACUUUGUCUCACACCUUAGUUACUUCUGUUAAGUCCCCAAGUGUAGUCAUAAUGGAGUUUAGGGCUUAAAUAUAUGAAUUCUGGGGGCACGCAAACAUUCUGUCCAUAAUAUAAAGCAGGUCAGGGAAGAUUGUUUUUAAACUUAAUUUAAAUAGUAUCAUCCUUUAGAAGAUCUUUGGAAAGAGUGAAUUGCUUGAUAUUAAAACUUUGUCUUUUACUUUGAAAUAACUGGGUUUUAUUUUUUGAUAAGAAGUCCCCUCUUUCUGGCCAGGCGCAGUGGCUCACACUUGUAAUCCCAGCACUUUGGGAGGCCAAGGCGGGCGGAUCACGAAGUCAGGAGAUCGAGACCACGGUGAAACCCCGUCUCUACUGAAAAGACAAAAAUUAGCCGGGCGUGGUGGCGGGCGCCUGUAGUCCCAGCUGCUCAGAGAGGCUGAGGCAGGAGAAUGGCGUGAACCCGGGAGGCGGAGCUUGCAGUGAGCCGAGAUCACGCCACUGUGCUCCAGCCUGGACAACAGAGCGAGACUCCGUCUCAGAAAAAAUAAAAAAUAAAAAAAGAAGUUUCCUCUUUCCUUACUCUAGUUAUGUAGCUCAGUAUUAAGCAACAGAAAAUGAGACUCAUCGUAGACUCAGCAUAGACCCAUCACAGACCUGUCAGAGGCCGAUUGUCACAAGCUACCUAACUAAGAAGUUUGCUGAACUACGCAGCCCCAAUGAGUUCAAGGUGUACAUGGGCCACGGUGGGAAGCCCUGGGUCUCCGACUUCAGUCACCCUCAUUACCUGGCUGGGAGAAGAGCCAUGAAGACAGUUUUUGGUGUUGAGCCAGACUUGACCAGGGAAGGCGGCAGUAUUCCCGUGACCUUGACCUUUCAGGAGGCCACAGGCAAGAACGUCAUGCUGCUGCCUGUGGGGUCGGCGGAUGACGGAGCCCACUCCCAGAAUGAAAAGCUCAACAGGCAUAACUACAUAGAGGGAACCAAGAUGCUGGCCGCGUACCUGUAUGAGGUCUCCCAGCUGAAGGACUAGGCCAAGCCCUCUGUGUGCCAUCUCCGACGAGAAGGAAUCCUGCCCUCACCUCACCCUUUUCCAACUUGCCCAGGGAAGUGGAGGUUCCCUCUUUCCUUUCCCUCUUGUCAGGUCAUCCACGACUUCAGAGAACAGACACAAGUGUAUCCAGCUGUCCACGGGUGGAGCUACCCGAUGGGCUUAUGAGUGACCUGGAGUGACAGCUGAGUCACCCUGGCUAAGUUCUCAGAGUGGUCAGGAUGGCUUGACCUGCAGAAGAUACCCAAGGUCCAAAAGCACAAGGUCUGCGGAAAGUUCUGGUUGUCGGCCGGGCACCAUGGCUCACACCUAUAAUCGAGCACUUUGGGAGGCCAAGACAGGAGGAUCGCUUGAGGCCAGGAGUCUGAGACAAGCCUAGGCAACAAAACAAGACUCUGUCUCUACAAAAAGUUUAAGAAAUGAGCCAGACAUGGUGAUGUAUGCCUGUAGUCCCAGCCACUCAGAAGGCUGAGGCAGGAGAAUCACUUGAGACCAAGAGUUUGAGCCUGCAGUGAGCUGUGAAUGCACCACGGCACUCAAGCCUGGGCAAUGUAGCAAGAUCCUGUCUCUACAAGAAAUUUUUUAAAAAUGAGCCAAGUGUGGUGGUGCAUGCCUGUAGUUCCAGCUACUCAGGACACUGACGUAGGAGGGUUGCUUGAGACUGAGAGUUGGAGGCUGCGAUGAGCCAUGAAUGCCCCACUGCAUUCCAGCCUGGGCGACAGAACGAGACCCCAUCUCAAAAAAAAUAAGUUCUGGUUGUCAUUGAAUUGGGAUAAACAGAGAGCUUGAUGCUUUCUGCCUUCUGUCUCAGGUGAUGCAUUGCACAUUUGGGAUAUUUGGAAAGGAAAUGAGGAAAGAAAUCAGGGCCUCCUCUGAUCUCUCGCUAUCUGCGGGUCCUGUCCUUUUCUCGAGACCUUCACCAUUACUGGCGUUUUCCUGUCUUCUCUUUAGUAUGAUUCCCUCAAAACCUCACUAACUGGAAGGAUGAUUUUGUCUCAGUUUGUACUCCUAAAUAAAAAGUAAACAUGACACCUCUAAAA